UAGUUAAUUUAGUCAGUGUUUUGAAUUUAAAUUUUAAAAUAAUUGAAAGUUGCCAAGUGGUAAAGUUAAUAAAUGCAAACAAAAAAAAAAAUUAAUAGCGCAUAAACAAUUUGGUUCCACCAAAUCAGGACAACAGUGGAACAUCCAAACAGUUACUUAGAAUUUUACAGUGUUGCAUCUCAUUUUUAUUUGCAUCAAAAAAAAAAAAAGGAAGAGCCAAAAAAAGCACAAACAAAGAGAAAAGGGAAAAAGACAAAAAAGGAAAAAAAAAUCUAUAUAAUUUAACCUAAAUGCACGUCUCUUACCCCCAUUACCUCUAUUUAACUCACAAAGGCAAAUUCACGUUUCAUCUAACUGCCCCAUUUAUCAUUUAUCAUCUGUAUAUCCCGAUUCUCCAAUUUUUGUUCAUGUAUGAACUUCCAGCGGUUCACAAGAGACUUAAUCGACAGAAACUGCCCCAUUUACCAUAUGUAUCCGGAUUCUCAAAUUUCCUUUCAUGUUUGAACUUUUAUAUUGUUGCAGCGAUUUACAGGAGAUUUAUUCGAUAGAAAUAGCCUUCAAUCUCAAACUAAAAAGAGUUUGACACGAAGAUAUGUGGGAUAGGCAAAGCUGAGUUUUCAAGCUCACGUCGUCAUUCCUUCUUUAUAGGUCAGUUUCAAACUCAAAUUGUUGCAUACGUCUAUCCUAUUUUCUGAAAAACGAAUCUCACCAAUCACCAUUAUGGGCUAUGACGUGAGAUGGAGAAUGAGAUCAACUGACAAUUGAUAUGGUAAUUGAGAAACGAAUUGGUAUAUCUUUGAGUGCUCUGCCUUUUCAUGUGCAGACUUCUGUAGAUUUUUAUGUCCCUAAAAGUACUUAUGUAUUUGCUGAACAUAUAGUUUGCAAUUUGUUAGCAUGAAAUUGCGGCUAGACCGAGAAGCUUUUUAGAGCAACUUUUUGUGACCAUGAUGACAGAACCGUCCUAAUCCAGAAACCGGGAAUGCAAGUGAUGGUCUUCAAAAUCUGUGUUAUGGUAAUUGCUGAUUUUUUUUAAUCAUUUUCGUAAUUCUUGCGUAUAUUUUGCAGAAAAUGAGAUCACUAGACAGCCAAAUGAGGCAUUUGGUGUAUCUGAUAGAGAAUGUCAUUCUUAAUCUUCCACAUGGCCAAGAGCAAAUGCCGUGGUUGCUAGACUACACAGGAUGGUCUUUAACCAAUAAUGUUCCCCUCAAAUAUUAUUGGUUAGUGAGGUUUUCAUUUGUUUUGCUUGGUUGGUUGAGACAAAUCGUUAAAAUCAAAACUCCCGAUAAAGUGAUAUCUGCAGUAUUUAAUCCCACUAAUUCAUGUGUAACAAAAAACAGUCUGCUCACACAGUUAAUUGGAUAUUCUUUAUGUAAUUAAAGGUAUGUGGUCCUUUAGUUGCUUCUUAUUUAAGAAGCGUCAUGAAGCUUUUGCUCACAAUAUAAUAUUGCAGGUGUUAAUGUGGUUUUUGAAAAAAUGAACGACACUUAGAGCUAGCACUUCGUAGAGUGUCGACAACUUUUCAUUCUCUUCUUUUGCCUUGAAGAUAAGUAAUCUUCAGAAUUAUUGUCAUCAUCUUUUGUGUUUCUUUAAAACAAUCCACAUUCUACACAACUUUUUUACUUUCUCAUCAUGCCUCUUCUCUUUAUCAUUAGUAUAUAUCUAUGCUUCUAAUAUGAAACCCACUAAUUUUUCAUAUGAAUUGCUAAAAGUUGAUAUGAAAAAUAAGUUCAUGCUUCUCCUAAAUAUUUGUUUCAUGUGAAUUCUUUGCAUAUUAAUAAUACAUUUUAUAUUUUAUUGCAGAUAUCAAAUCUCUCAAUGUCUUAAGAUUCGAGAAAAACGCAUAGCAAAGUAAGGAACUACUUCAAGCUCAUGCAUGUAAAUGAAGUAAAAUACAAAGUCGAUACUGUAAGCUAGAAAGAAGUGAAAGGAUGUAAUUGAUUUAUGUAAUUCAUUAUUGUUUUUUGAACAAGCCUGCAAAACGGAAUUGCAUUAUUUACAUCUACAUGAGUUGUUUUGGAGAUUUGCACAUAUAGUCGUUUCUCAUAGCUACGUACUUGAUUUUCUUUCUGUUUUAUUUUUGGUGUUUCAUUAUUCAAAUAUAUUUUUCAGAAUCUGUUUACAUUUCUACCGGCAAUUUACGAAUCACUUUAUUUAUUUUUUUACUUGAAGCACACACAUUGAUAUCUUGAUUGAUAUUUUUGGUGGAAGGAAUAUAGAUUUUUCCUUUUACCUUAUUUCUGUCAAAUUCACCAAAUCAAGGUAUGCAUAUUUAUUCGUUCUUUUAUUAAUUUAUAUGAUUCAAACCUAUAUAAACGGUAAUAUUUAUUGGAUAUUUUUAAAAAUUUGAGCCAUAAAAGUUGCUACAGUAUCUUCAGGAGCAUUACUUCUUCUCUUCCAGGUGUAUUCUCCACUUUUCAGGUGUUGAAUUUGAUGCUAAAAAUGGUUUCAAAUUCUUUUGAAAUAUCAAUAUAAUUGGCUUAUCUUGAUGAAGCACAAGAAGAAGGUAAAUCAUGGAGAAAAAGGAACACCAGUGGUUGAAGUAAGGAGAAAAAGGAACAACAGCAUAAACUGAGAAUGAUUUCAAGCAUUCAAAAUUCAAAUAUCUCAUUGAGAAUGUUGAUCUGAUAAAUUGCUGAGUGAAAAUCAUCGAAAAAGAAGAAAGAAUUCCACCUUUAUUAAUAUAUUAGGGGUUUACAUCGCAUAUGAUGCAAGUCGCUUUUCUGGGAGCAUGGCUAUGGCUAUAGCUUCAAGAAUGCUUACAAUUAAAUAUGUUAAAGAAGUCAAAGAUGAAAAGAAGAAAUGAGCAUAAUCAAAGGCCAUACAUCAUGAAAAAGAUGCGUACUUUGACCAAGGAUUGCAGUAAGGUGGAUUUUUUUCCCCUAUGAAACGAUAAGUUCACCCAUUAUAUCCAGCUAAUAGCUUAAUGUUAGAAAUUACCAGAAGUACCACCAUUAGAUUAGAAAAAAGUUCACGGCUUCUAAAACAACAAAUAGUAGUGGAUUGCAACAUCUACUCCCAUGAUGCUAAUUUUGGUACCCAUGGAAUGCACGGCAUUAUCAAAAUAUAUAUUAAUUAAGUCAACUUAUGUUUUCGCUUUUUACAA